UUUUCCCCUAGAGGUAUUGGAUGCAUGACUACUGUGUCAUACGUGUGUCAGUAGGUGACAGAGAGGAGAGAGUCUAUGCCUAUGCUCGGUGUUCUGACCUAUGAACAUCUGAGUGAUUAAUAGGCUAACAUU